rnacentral:rRNA from 1 species
UAGGGAAUCUUCGGCAAUGGGGGGAACCCUGACCGAGCAACGCCGCGUGAGUGAAGAAGGUUUUCGGAUCGUAAAGCUCUGUUGUUAAGGAAGAACGAGUGUGAGAAUGGAAAGUUCAUACUGUGACGGUACUUAACCAGAAAGGGACGGCUAACUACGUGCCAGCAGCUGCGGUAAUACGUAGGUCCCGAGCGUUGUCCGGAUUUAUUGGGCGUAAAGCGAGCGCAGGCGGUUAGAAAAGUCUGAAGUGAAAGGCAGUGGCUCAACCAUUGUAGGCUUUGGAAACUGUUUAACUUGAGUGCAGAAGGGGAGAGUGGAAUUCCAUGUGUAGCGGUGAAAUGCGUAGAUAUAUGGAGGAACACCGGUGGCGAAAGCGGCUCUCCGGUCUGUAACUGACGCUGAGGCUCGAAAGCGUGGGGAGCGAACAGGAUUAGAUACCCUGGUAGUCCACGCCGUAAACGAUGAGUGCUAGGUGUUAGGUCCUUUCCGGGACUUAGUGCCGCAGCUAACGCAUUAAGCACUCCGCCUGGGGAGUACGACCGCAAGGUUG